rnacentral:tRNA from 1 species
GUUAGCUUGAUGUACACCUAGCAUAAUAGCUUUUCGUGCUUUAAGUGGGGGUUUCCCCCAGCUAACU